rnacentral:ribozyme from 1 species
AACUCAACCAGGAGAGUAUAAAAUGUUUACUGAUGAGACUGGACGAAACCAAUAGGUUUAAAC